rnacentral:rRNA from 1 species
UACGUAGGGUCCAAGCGUUAUCCGGAAUCACUGGGCGUAAAGCGUGCGUAGGCGGAUAUUUAAGUGCAAUGCGAAAUCCUGUGGCUCAACCAUAUGGACUGUGUUGCAUACUGGAUAUCUGGAGGAAUGCAGAGGCAAGUGGAAUUACUGGUGUAGCAGUGAAAUGCGUAGAUAUCAGUAGGAACACCAAUGGCGAAGGCAGCUUGCUGGGCAUUUUCUGACGCUAAGGCACGAAAGCGUGGGGAGCGAACAGG